CUGCACCCAAUUAAGCCUACCGUGCUGCCAUUCCCAUGGUGCCCCAGAGUGCAAUGGCUGCAAACAGUAGCCUCCUGGGUAGUGUAUACAACCUGUUGCUUGUACAGGCUGCCCUAAGGGGCCCUGGAGACAGUC
ensembl:snoRNA SNORA70 Small nucleolar RNA SNORA70